rnacentral:rRNA from 1 species
AUGUGCAGGUACCAGCAGGAUGGCCGGGAUCUGGAAGAGGCGCCGUCGAGCUCGCCGCGGCUGGUGGCGGUGUGCGUCGACAGUAGCAAGAACAGCGUGAGCGCGUUCAAGUGGGCCGUCGAGGAGACGGUCGCGGGGAACAGGAGCAGCCAGCCCCAGCCCAUCGUCCUCGUCCACGUCAAGCAGCCGGCGCAGCCGCACGUCAGGGAGAUCCUCCUCCCGUUCCGCGUCUUCUGUGCGCGCAAAGGCGUCUUCUGCAUGGACGCGGUGCUGGACGACGGCCACGGCGACGUGGCCAGGUCGAUCGUCGAGUUCGUGGCGCGCGGCGUCGUCGAAAAGCUCGUCGUCGGCGCCACCGGGAGGGGCCUCUUCCGAAGAAGGUUCAUGGCGGCCGACGACAUCCCGACGGCCAUCACCAAGGGCGCGCCCGACUUCUGCGACGUAUACGUGGUCGGCGAGGCCGGCAAGGUCUCGUCCGUUCGAGCCUCCACGGACAAGUCCCCGCUUUGGCCGGAGAUACGCAGGCUCGCCGAGGCGGCUGAGAAUUUCUGGUCGGAGAUACGCGACCUCGGCGAGGCGGCCGCUAGUCCACCGGCGGGACGUGACCGGCUGGGGCGCCGAUAUGGCGGGCCAGUUUCCAUGCCCGAUAGUAUAUUGCAAGAGAAUCAGGAGCUCCGUCGUGCCAACGAGACUCUGGCACAGCGGCAAGAAGUCCACACCCGGAUGAUUUUGAUGCUUUUCGCGGAGUUGGGUAAAGAACCGCCCCGGGAGCUCCUACACAAUAUGGAAACUCCGAGCAAUAUGAAUGGACGACAAGAGCCUGUUACUUUCAACACCCUGUUUCACAAACAGUGA